rnacentral:tRNA from 1 species
GUGUCGCUGUCGAGUGGUUUAAACACUUGACUGUUGAUUGGGAGGUCAUGGGUUCGAUCCCGGUGCGGCACA